rnacentral:tRNA from 1 species
CGGAUAGUAGUUCAGUUGGAAGAGCGCCCGCUGCGGUAUCAGUAGCAGAGGGAAACACACAGGUUCGAUUCCUGUCUAUCCGA